rnacentral:rRNA from 1 species
AUCACUAAGCGGAGGAAAAGAAACUAACAAGGAUUCCCUCAGUAACGGCGAGUGAAGCGGGAAGAGCCCAGCACCGAAUCCCCUGCCUUUUGGGUAGUGGGAACUGUGGUGUUUAGGACAGCCUUUGGGGUGGGAUCUGGUGCCCGAGUCCUCCUGAUCGGGGCCUUUCCCAUAGCGGGUGUUAGGCCUCUACUGGCACUGGUUUCCGCCUCUCUGAGCGUCCUUGGAGUCGGGUUGUUUGGGAAUGCAGCCCAAAGUGGGUGGUAAACUCCAUCUAAGGCUAAAUACUGACACGAGACCGAUAGCGGACAAGUACCGUGAGGGAAAGUU